rnacentral:rRNA from 1 species
GAUGAACGCUGGCGGCGUGCCUAAUACAUGCAAGUCGAGCGAACGGACGAGAAGCUUGCUUUUCUGAUGUUAGCGGCGGACGGGUGAGUAACACGUGGAUAACCUACCUAUAAGACUGGGAUAACUUCGGGAAACCGGAGCUAAUACCGGAUAAUAUUUUGAACCGCAUGGUUCAAAAGUGAAAGACGGUCUUGCUGUCACUUAUAGAUGGAUCCGCGCUGCAUUAGCUAGUUGGUAAGGUAACGGCUUACCAAGGCAACGAUGCAUAGCCGACCUGAGAGGGUGAUCGGCCACACUGGAACUGAGACACGGUCCAGACUCCUACGGGAGGCAGCAGUAGGGAAUCUUCCGCAAUGGGCGAAAGCCUGACGGAGCAACGCCGCGUGAGUGAUGAAGGUCUUCGGAUCGUAAAACUCUGUUAUUAGGGAAGAACAUAUGUGUAAGUAACUGUGCACAUCUUGACGGUACCUAAUCAGAAAGCCACGGCUAACUACGUGCCAGCAGCCGCGGUAAUACGUAGGUGGCAAGCGUUAUCCGGAAUUAUUGGGCGUAAAGCGCGCGUAGGCGGUUUUUUAAGUCUGAUGUGAAAGCCCACGGCUCAACCGUGGAGGGUCAUUGGAAACUGGAAAACUUGAGUGCAGAAGAGGAAAGUGGAAUUCCAUGUGUAGCGGUGAAAUGCGCAGAGAUGUGGAGGAACACCAGUGGCGAAGGCGACUUUCUGGUCUGUAACUGACGCUGAUGUGCGAAAGCGUGGGGAUCAAACAGGAUUAGAUACCCUGGUAGUCCACGCCGUAAACGAUGAGUGCUAAGUGUUAGGGGGUUUCCGCCCCUUAGUGCUGCAGCUAACGCAUUAAGCACUCCGCCUGGGGAGUACGACCGCAAGGUUGAAACUCAAAGGAAUUGACGGGGGCCCGCACAAGCGGUGGAGCAUGUGGUUUAAUUCGAAGCAACGCGAAGAACCUUACCAAAUCUUGACAUCCUUUGACAACUCUAGAGAUAGAGCCUUCCCCUUCGGGGGACAAAGUGACAGGUGGUGCAUGGUUGUCGUCAGCUCGUGUCGUGAGAUGUUGGGUUAAGUCCCGCAACGAGCGCAACCCUUAAGCUUAGUUGCCAUCAUUAAGUUGGGCACUCUAAGUUGACUGCCGGUGACAAACCGGAGGAAGGUGGGGAUGACGUCAAAUCAUCAUGCCCCUUAUGAUUUGGGCUACACACGUGCUACAAUAGACAAUACAAAGGGCAGCGAAACCGCGAGGUCAAGCAAAUCCCAUAAAGUUGUUCUCAGUUCGGAUUGUAGUCUGCAACUCGACUACAUGAAGCUGGAAUCGCUAGUAAUCGUAGAUCAGCAUGCUACGGUGAAUACGUUCCCGGGUCU